AGCCUGGCAGGCUGGUGCCUUUGGACUGGUUCCCAGUUUGGGGUGCCCCCCUCAGGUCCCCUUUCACACUCCCAGCCAAAACUUCUCUCUGCAGCUAUCCAGACCCUCAGCCCAGGGUUCUGCCAGAGUCUGUUGUCUGCUGGAUUCCCUUGCAGAGUUGACUUCUCAGGUUGCUCCUCCCUGUGUGUCUCGUGCUUUCCCGAAUGUCUGCUCCCCAGUGCUGCUCACAGGGCUCAGGCUGUAAUCUGACUAGCUUCCCCAGCAGAGGGCCCAGCCCUCCUCUCUCUCUGCCUCCUCAUCUUUCUCCCAAAGCUUUCAUUUCUGUUUAUCCCAAAUCCCCUUCCUUACCUGAUCACGAGCCCAGAUGAGACGUAGGGCUCACAGAAGACAGUUCCACACUUCACUUCCUUUUGGUUCUUUUAAUCAGAGCUUUUAAAAGAUAAUAAUAUUGGCAUCUUACAAUACGCUAAGCACUGAACUCCUCUAAUACUGCUCACAACAUCUUCCUUCACUAAGGAAGACACUGAGGCUGGGAGAAGUAACUUGCCUCUGAUUCUACAAAGUGGCAAAGCCGAGAUGGAAGGACAGCCUGGAUUCGGCGUGCUACCCUAUUAUCUCUCGUGGACUUGGAGCCUAGUGUGAAUUCUCAUGACCUGAGGUCCCACUGUUGGGGGUUCCACCAUUUUCCCCAGAAUUUGCUCCAGAUUUUUGGAAAGAAGAAGCAGCUCCACUCUUUAAAGUUGCAUGGGGAAAGAUGUGUUUCUUAAUGACAAGUUUUUGCAGCCAGAGAUCCAAAUAAAAUUAAAAAAUGCUUCUUCCAUUUCUACAAGGAGUGACCAUAUUGGAGGUGAUCCAGUUGACCUAAACCUCACAUGAAAAUCAGGCUCAUUAUGUCAAAUUUCAAUCCCACCUUCUCUGCCUUCUGUGCUCCAUGCCCACUCCAGAGGACAGAAGAGAGUGAAGGCUUGCCCCCACCAAACAGCUAUCCCAGCUCCCCAGGAACUGGUGCACUAAUCUCGGUGACCACCCCCCUCCAAUUUAAGAAAACCUGAAGAAGCCAGUUCUUCUCUCUGAUUCACACAAGCCUUUUUCCCUCAAGAAGCCUCACCACAUAAAACAAUCUCAGCUUGCGAAUACCAACUUCCAUGUUGUUUCCUGCGAGCAGCAGAGCUCGAAGCAUGAUGCUUCACUUUUGCCAGAUUUGGGCCAAUUGGAGAAAGAUACGAGUUCCUCUUUGAGCUUCUUUCCAUCACUUCUGGAGGCAAGCUUUCCAGCUACCAAAACAAAAUGUUUCCUAAUUUUUCCUCCCACACCUAUGAACUUUGUUCCUUGAUUAAGUCCUAGAUUUCCCUAGAAACAGAACUGGACUAUGUCCAAACACUUUCUUCAAGUUCUUCAAACAUUAACUCAACAGAUGUUAUUUCGAGAGGUUUCUGUGUUCUCCCUCACUCUCUUGGCUUUGGAGUUGGUUCUCGAGACGCCAACUGGAAAGUCUGAGGGGUGUUUCAGCAGCAGUUACCCCAUGCCUCACCUCACCCCCAAGCCUCUCUUGCCAGAAGGGCAGGAGAAGGAAGCCCCUUUGUGUGCACAGCAUGGAGCUAUAAGGGAGCAGCAAGGGCACUGUGCUUGCCUCUCAAGACCCAGCAAGGAGCUGUAAGGGAGCAGGUGGAAAGGAUGAGCAAUAGGAUAGGUGGGUCCAAGGAGUGCUCCUGGACUAGAAGAGUCCAGUCAUUUCACAUCUGG
ensembl:lncRNA